GAUGAACGCUGGCGGCGUGCCUAAUACAUGCAAGUCGAGCGAACAGACGAGAAGCUUGCUCCUCUGACGUUAGCGGCGGACGGGUGAGUAACACGUGGAUAACCUACCUAUAAGACUGGGAUAACUUCGGGAAACCGGAGCUAAUACCGGAUAAUAUAUUGAACCGCAUGGUUCAAUAGUGAAAGACGGUUUUGCUGUCACUUAUAGAUGGAUCCGCGCCGCAUUAGCUAGUUGGUAAGGUAACGGCUUACCAAGGCAACGAUGCGUAGCCGACCUGAGAGGUGGUCGGGCACAACGGAACCGGGGCACGGGCCAAGAUCCUAAGGGAGGGCGGAGUAGGGGAACCUGCGGCAAGGGGCGAAAGUUGGCCGGGGCACGGCGGGGGGGUUAAGAAGGUCUUCCGGUCGUAAAACUCUGUUAUUAGGGAAGAACAAAUGUGUAAGUAACUAUGCACGUCUUGACGGUACCUAAUCAGAAAGCCACGGCUAACUACGUG
rnacentral:rRNA from 1 species